rnacentral:ncRNA from 1 species
GUCUUAUAAGCACAUACUAUUAGGACCUAAAAGAUGGUGAGCUAUACCUGGAGAGGGUAAAGCCAAACAAAACUUUCCCGGAAGUACUUAUCAGUCCUGAUGGGCCAAUUGGUCAUCUGAGCUGGGGACAGGGGUCUGGGAACCACCUAGUAGUUGAGUUCCUCUGAGGUUUCCCUCAGGACAGCUGGAACUCUUGUUCCAAUUGUGUCUGGCAAAAGCAAUGCUUAGAGGUCUUGGAACUGAAGUGAUCUCAACCUGUUCUCCAACUCUGAGUGGAUAAGAAGCCUAGCUGGCUGGGGUGGGACCCGAAUGCAAGUACUAGCAGGCUCCUUCUGGUCAGCACAACUUCAGGAAGCAGCUAGCUUCCACCCUAAGGAGAGAGGUUACAAUGAAUGCCACUUGGAGCAUGGAGAGGAGGCCCAUGGUACAGAGACCCAGACUUCUAAGGAGGGGGAUCAACAAGCUAGUGAAGGU